ACUUAGCUCAUUAGUCAUUUCUACUGGUUAUACCUAGUAUUGCGUUUUAUGUAAAUCUCGUCAGUUUUGGCCAGCGCUCAGCAGAGUACGCCACCCUAAAGUACCGUUAGUUGUAAAUAAACGCGUCACUUAUGGUAGCUACAUAUCGUACCAGGGAAAGAAUCUACAGAGAACUGUGUGAUUCUCCCAGAGGAACAAGUCUAUAAAGCUACAAGAAAGAUUUUUAAAAUAAACUUUGAUCUAUGUCAUGUGAUCAUAAGGAAAUUAAUCGAUAAAGUCACCAAAGGGUCGUCAAAAAGCUCGAGAGAUCUGCGCAUCUGAAUCUGAACCAAAAGAACUGAACUAUGAAACAGAUCUUAAUUCCUUCGAAACGAUGAAAAAGAUUGUAAUGCGCCUUCCAGUACAUGCAAGCCAAGUGGGCGGUAGAAUCAGGGAAGUUCAUCGUGGUGAGCGGGAUUAGAAGGAAAUGCUUGUUGUUGGCGGGGUACGCGUGCUGGUCGAUCUGCUGACACUUGUCGACCUACACACGACACGAGCCACCGUGCCCCUCCAGAUUCGCACGUUGAAGGAUCUCUUGGAGACGUGGAGGAAGGAGGUUGAUUAAAAGCUGUCAACCAUGUCCACCGACGAAGCCUAUGAAAGCUAAAGCUGAAACAGGAUCUCUUAGGGUAUGGUAAAACAUAUUCCAUUAUCGUGACCCGAUCCUCGGGGGAAAGAGACCCUGGGUCAAGACCCUGUCUCCCUUUGUUUUGAGAAAUGCUAUUAGCUAGUGGAAGGUUUUGACCCCUUGGAUGUAGCAUAAAGAAAACUCUAGUUUAGCUGUCUUACAGACACUUUGAUUCACUUCUGAUGUUGCUAAAACAUGUCUCUAUUUUUCUUUCUACUGGCACGGAAAGACCAUCCGGACGGUAGGGUAAUUAAAUAUGUGGUUACGCUCUGGACUACAGAGCCAUUUUGCUUUGACUAAAAGAGACUUUUAUCUUUGUUUUUUUUUUUAACAGAGCCUUUUGACUUUGGCUAACAGAAGCAUUUUACUUUGGCUAUAAAAGCCCUCUUAGUUGACCAACAGAGUCCUUUUACUUUGGCCAUAAGAGCCCUUUCACUUUGACUUUAAUAGCACUUUUCCUCUGUCUACAAGAGCCUUCUUACUUUAACUAAAAUAUCCCUUUUUCGCUUUCACUUUGACCAUAAAACCCCUUUUACUUUUACUAUAACAUCCCUUUCACUUUGGCUAUAAGAGCCUUUUUACUUUAACUAUAACAGCCUAUUUACAUUGACUAAAGGAGUCUUCUGAUUUGAGCUAUAAGAGAUUUUUUACUUCGAUAAUGAGAGCCUUUUACCUUGGCUAUGGGCCCUUAGCGCCCUUUUACUUUAAAUUUAGCAAUAAAAGCCUUCUUAAUUUUGUACUAUAAGACCCAUUUUACUUUGGCUAUAAUAGCCUUUUAACAUUGACUAUAAGAGCCUUUUUCACUGUAAAAGCCUAUCUUUAUUUUAAGGGCCCUUUUACUUUGGCUAUAAGGUCUAUUACUUUAACAAUAAAAGCGUUUUUAAUCUGG